CUCCAUAUACAAAUCAAAACUUCUAUUACAUUUCUAUUUCUUCAACCUUUUAAAUAAAUUCAGAUUUGAGCUUCUUUAACAUUUCACAGCAAAUCCUGCAACAUGCAGCAAUCAAAUGCAUUUUCCUCCCCAUUUUUUCUUCUACUUUAAUAAUCCCAGAAGGGAAAUUGCUUAAGACUGCCAGUAAGUUAGGCAGUGCGGUAAAGUGCCUUGUCCAAGGACACACAACAAUGACUAGGGAGGAGUUGGGAUCGAACCACCAACCUUCAGGUUAUUGGACAACCUGCUGCCCCCGAUAAUAAUAUAACUAUGAAGUAUAACAUCAAAUACAUGUCUAAUUCAAAACAAAACAAAUUCCAAAGAUGCAAAGCAGCGGGUGGCAUGGCAACAGAUGCUAUAUAAGGCCUGCUGACCCUACAGGCGCUUCUUUUUGCACUUGACCUGCGACCAGAGCAGACCUGCGCAAAAAACCUGUGGAAGCUAACGCUGAAGCUAAAGCGGAUUAUCGACACCCAGAGGACUAUCAACAGAGCUCACUGCCAACAACUUCAGGACCACCUAUCACCUUUACCAGCAGAAAGUGUUGGACAACACUUGGAGCAUCGGCACCCCGGAUAGCAUAGGCCUAUCUCCAGAAAGCCGGAUUUUACAGGUCAACUUGUUCCUGAUGGCCACCAGCGGACCCCGCUGCCAGCUGCCUCUGCUGACCGCCAUGGAGGACCGGAGGGCUGAGGAUGUCGGCUCUGUCAUUGAGUGUCCCCCAGCAGACCUUCCUGAGGACAUCUGGAUGUUAGAGGACACUGAUGACAACCGUGUCCCAGUCCUCAUCUCUUCUGAUGAAGAAGAUGAGGGUGAGGACGACCAUGGAGAGGAGGAGCCUCACGACGUGGGAGAUGUCCUGAAUGACCGGUGGGAUGAUGUGGACCUUCCUUUAGCCUUUGGUAAACUGGAGAUUAUGCAGGAGGAGGAGGAUGACAUGAAGGACUCAGAGGAGGAGGACCGGGCCAGUGAGGAUUCCGGGUGUUCGUGA
ensembl:lncRNA